GCGCAGCAGUCGCGAAACCUCCGCAAUACACGAAAGUGUGACGGGGCCAUCCCGAGUGCCGUCCGCUGAGGACGGCUUUUCCCCAGUGUUACAUAGCUGGGGAAUAAGGAGAGGGCAAGCCUGGUGUCAGCCGGCCGCGGUAAUACCAGCUCUCCGAGUGGUGGGGACGCUUAUUGGGCCCUAAAGCAUCCGUAGCCGGCUAGGCAAGUCCUCCGUUAAGUCCAACGAUUCAA
rnacentral:rRNA from 1 species